rnacentral:rRNA from 1 species
CCUACNGGAGGCACCAGUGGGGAAUAUUGCACAAUGGGCGCAAGCCUGAUGCAGCCAUGCCGCGUGUAUGAAGAAGGCCUUAGGGUUGUAAAGUACUUUCAGUUGGGAGGAAGGCGUUGAUGCUANUAUCAUCAACGAUUGACGUUACCAACAGAAGAAGCACCGGCUAACUCCGUACCAGCAGCCGCGGAAAUACGGAGGGUGCAAGCGUUAAUCGGAAUUACUGGGCGUAAAGCGCACGCAGGCGGUUGAUUAAGUUAGAUGUGAAAUCCCCGGGCUUAACCUGGGAAUGGCAUCUAAGACUGGUCAGCUAGAGUCUUGUAGAGGGGGGGUAGAAUUCCAUGUGUAGCGGUGAAAUGCGUAGAGAUGUGGAGGAAUACCGGUGGCGAAGGCGGCCCCCUGGACAAAGACUGACGCUCAGGUGCGAAAGCGUGGGGAGCAAACAGGAUUAGAUACCCCUGUAGUC